GUAAGUGAAAUUUCUCGCUCAACUCCUCAAAGUAUACGCACACGCGCGCAGUUGCCUCCAAGACUGAAACAAUGGGCACUGGUGGUCGGACGAACGCAACCCCACAGAAGGUGGGCCCGGACCCUCUGAAAAGGGUCCCGCACACGAAGCCCCCGUUCUCCCUGAGCGAGAUCAAGAAGGCCAUCCCCCGCACUGCUUCAACCGCUCGAUAGUCCGCUCCUUCUCCUACGUCCUCUACGACCUGGCCAUCAUCUUCGGGCUCUACUUCGUGGCCUCGACCAUCAUCCCCACCCUCCCGGCCCCGCUCCGCUACGUCGCCUGGCCGGCCUACUGGAUCGUCCAGGGCUGCGUCAUGACCGGCGUCUGGGUCCUGGCCCACGAGUGCGGGCACCACGCCUUCAGCGACUACCAGUGGCUCGACGACACCGUCGGCUUCGUCCUCCACUCGGCCCUCCUCGUGCCGUACUUCUCGUGGAAGUACUCGCACGCCCGGCACCACUCCAACACGGCCUCCCUGGAGCGCGACGAGGUCUUCGUGCCCAAGAAGAAGGACGGGAUCAGCUGGUACGCCAAGUACCUCAACAACCCCCCCGGCAGGAUCAUCUGCCUCCUCGUCACACUUACGCUCGGAUGGCCGCUCUACCUGGCCUUCAAUGUUUCCGGAAGGCCUUACGACCGAUUCGCCAACCACUUCGAUCCGCAAAGCCCGAUCUACUCUGAGCGCAAGCGAAACCAAAUCAUCAUGUCAGACUUGGGUAUCGUGGCCGUUUCUUACAUCAUUUACCGAGCGGUCAUGGCGUACGGACUGGCCCAUGUGAUGUGCAUCUACGGGAUCCCACUUCUGAUUGUCAACGGGUUCCUCGUUUCCAUCACGUUCCUGCAGCACACGCACCCCUCGCUGCCCCACUACGACUCGUCAGAGUGGGACUGGUUCCGAGGUGCCCUCGCCACGGUCGACAGGGACUACGGGAUCCUCAACCACGUGUUCCAUCAUAUCACGGACACACACGUAGCCCACCACCUCUUCUCCACGAUGCCGCACUACCACGCGAUGGAAGCAACGCAGGCCAUCAAACCCCUCCUGGGAGAAUACUAUCAGUUCGACGGAACACCCAUCUACAAAGCCAUGUACAGGGAGACCAGAGAGUGCGUCUUCGUCGAGCGGGAUGAGAAGGACCACACCAAAGGUGUCUUCUGGUACAGCAACAAGAUUUGAUGAUGAUUCCUCAAAGACGACCCCUCCACCACAACGAUUGUAUCGAUAGGUAGCCUUCGUUUCAGUCCUAGUGACUGGAUGUCAGUGGCGUGGCGUGCUUUGCGAAUAUCGUCGAUCUUUUGGCGUAAGAGCGUAUCUCGAUUUCCACAUGGGCCCCUGAAAGCAUGGAUUUACAUGUAAAACAGGGCUCACGUGAAAAUUGAGGCACGCCCUUACAUCCGAGGAGCGACAGUAUAUCGAUUGAUCUGCCAUUUGAAACUAUGGAAAAGGAUCGAUGGACAGGGUUUACCUUAAUGGUCGAUUCUUUACCGUAGCUUCGAAUGGGGAAAUUUCGAUAAUCGGUCUCGCGCCUCGCCACUGCUGGAUGUAACGAUCACCGGGCCCAGUUUUCGGAUCUUCUCGAGAUAAUUUUGUUUUAUCAGGGACUACUUACCGCGGGGAUGGAUUGAAAAUAGUCAUGAGCGGGGUUGUUUUUCUUAGUUCGUUAUGUCCGGUUUUCACUGUAGGAAAAUAGUGAAAAAAUAGUGAUAAUAGUCUUAAGGUUUUUUUAUUGUUACUUUAAGUGUCAAGCUCCUCAUGAUGGGGAUUAAAAAUAUCGGGAAAUUAGGUUUCCAGUGCGGGCAAAUGCAAUCUAAGUACCUUUUAAGCUUUUGCCCCCCCCCCCCCUAAAUAUGAAUAUCUUGGAGACAAGUAACCUACAGCACUCUAAAAUCCUUCUCGCUACAUUUUUUACCAAGUUACGGUGCUUACUGUCAAUUAUAACACAAUGUAUCUCCUGAUUCUGCAGCAUGAGUUGCUUAAGUUUAAGUAACUGACUUAGAGAAAAUGUAUAGUGUUCGAAACAUUAACUUUGUAUUAGCCGUUGCUGCCUUGUUGGAUCAUCCAAAUUUUCUCUUUGAGCUCACAAUUUUGUAUCGUUAAUUUUAAUACAGGGUUUCCUGAAUAGUUCACCAUAGUAGUAGCAGGGCGGAGCCUUUAGUUCUUCAUACAAUCGUCUCAGUAACUUAAGUCCAAGGAAAUGCUCCUAUAACUAUCCCAUUUUUUCUUAUUUCUUCUCCAGUCACGUCCAAAUUACAGUACUGUACCAUGUAUGAAUACAGCCACAAUCAAGAAAAAGAAACCAAUUUGCCGUUUUCAAAUUUGAAUCGGCCUAGAUAAUUUGUUCGCUAACUUGGCAGGGCUCAUAUAUCACCAGUUUUUUUUUUUAUUUCUCUUGUUUGUCAAGUAAGCAAGUGUCUCAGGUGUUUCCAAGGUUUGUCAAUCUUGCCUUAGGCAUUGUAAUUGCAAGCCAUUAAAUAUUUGAGUACAAAUGAUUUCUAAUUUUUUGAGUGAUUUUCACACACAGAUUUUCCUGAAAUACAUUCGACAGUUAGGUGGAUCAAACCUAUUCCUAUUUUCUCCUUAGAUGGUCAGAUUAAUUGAUGUCCAACCAAAAUACUGACGUGAUCCAUUUUGAAUGUACUAAAGUUUUGGCUUUAAUGUGUAAAAUGGAUUAAACUUGGAAUAAAACAAUGGAAUACAAAAAUUAAGGACAGUAUCGAUGAAAUCUGUCCCAAAGGUGCCGAAACAUUAAGUGAUGCUUUGCAGUUGGUAGAGUGGAAUUUCUUGUGCAGUAGUACUUGUUCUGCAGAGAAACCUUUUUUUCUCAACGAUUAUUUCGUUUGUUUUAGACUUUGUAUUCUCUCUUUGUGUUGUUUUCUUUAUUUAUCCUUUUUUUUGUCAGAUUUUUUUGUUGUUUUUUUUUUCCUCCCCAUACCUGCUCUCUAAGUGCAGUAAAUGCUGAUUGCUUCAAGAACUGAGUUUUGCUCCAGAACCCCUUAGUUAGUGUAAUUUACCUGAAUAAUUUUAGUUAAUAUAAGCUCUUUUACCCAUUCGCUCAUAUACCUAAGACUUUAGCAUAAUAUUCAUUAGGAUAUUAGACAAAUGUUUUUGUUACAUUACUGUCAAUACUCCCUCUUGUCUCUUUGUUUGUAUUGUUUUGUUUCUCUUUCAUAUUUGUGGCGGUAGUCUGAUAAUCCUUGUAAGUCUUAUUAAAAAACUAGACGUAAAUCAAAAUCCGUAGAUCUGUGGGUUCCCCGAUGAAAUAAAGCUACAUUAUAUCGACCAUUCUUCAAGUUGAUUAAAUGAUAGAAUCUAGCAAUACAAAGACAAUAAGAUCUGGCAUGUAUUUUCCGUCGAUAAGUAAUUACGUUUUUAAUAUAAUACCAUCAUCAUUUCCAUCAUCAUCAUCAUAUCUUAGCACCAUAAUUCUACUAUGUUUUCUACCUGUAACUUCACAUUGACUUCUCCCUGUAUUUAUCUCCAAAUUGUGUCAAAGUUUAAAAAUAGUAGCUCUGUAAUAUCUGGAAUUUGAGUCUCUACAUUAAACUUCUCUUUUUUUAUCAAUCAAACAAAAUUGACUUCUCAAUCUCUAUAACUAUUUUCUGUCUCCGGCGCAACCAGUUCAAGACGAACAUCAUACCGAAAAAUAAGCCAAUUGAAAACAGGAUUAUUUUAUCUCAUUGCAUAAUGUGUGAGGGUAGGCAAAGUCAUAUUUAGUUAUACUUCAUCUGUGAUCUCUAUUUGGCUCAUUUUUGUAAAAAAAAAAAAAAAAAAAAAAAAAAAAGUACUUUACAAGUCCUUUUUGAUCAUUGGAAUGUAUUUGUCUUUAAAUAAUAUUAUUCCCACAAAGGUACUGACAGCUUAAAAAGUUUGAUUUUCUAUAGAGGCAAUUCAUCAAGUCGUGAUUAAUGACUAAUUACUUUUGAAUGCUUGUGAAACAAUCUGUAACAAGAUGAGUGAGAGCUCUUGAAUCCAUUGACUUCUUUUAUCACCAAAAAAAGGGAACAAAUUCUGACUAAAUACUAAUAUUUUAACCUUUUCUUCCCAUUUUUAUUAAAAGUUGAAGCUAUCUAUUUCGCUCCUUUUUGUUAAUGAUUGUUUUCAAAAAAUGAAUGCUCGUUUUGUCACAUUGUGAUUUCAAAUACGACCUACGAUAUCAAAUGAACCUAGUUUAACAGAAACUUACUAAGUGGCAUCAAGUUUGAACUGAGGAAAAAAGGUUGGAAGUUUUAUUUCUCCAUAAAACUCAACAUUAAGAACCGUUUAAAGACUAUUAUCACCUUUAAAUUGUUUUUUUUGAACUCAGAAUUUUGGACAGAAGAA
rnacentral:lncRNA from 1 species